rnacentral:rRNA from 1 species
AAUCAAGCGCGAGAAGGGCGUUUGGUGGAUGCCUUGGCAGCAAGAGGCGAUGAAGGACGUGAUACUCUGCGAUAAGCCAGGGGGAGCCGAGAAUAGGCUUUGAUCCCUGGAUCUCCGAAUGGGGCAACCCACCUGAUAUUCAGUUAUUAUCAGCCGUCAGGUUUUUGAUAAUUGGGUAAACCAGGUACUUCUUACCUGAAUACAUAGGGUUUGAAGAGCAAACCCGGGGAACUGAAACAUCUAAGUACCCGGAGGAAAGGAAAUCAAUGAUACUCCCCUAGUAGCGGCGAGCGAACGGGGACCAGCCGAGCCUUGAGAGUGAUCGGAACAUGCUGGAAAGCAUGGCCAUAGCGGGUGACAGCCCCGUACGAGAAGCUCGAUGGGACGUAUUAAGUAGGGCGGGACACGUGAAAUCCUGUCUGAAGAUCGGAGGACCACCUUCGAAGGCUAAGUACUCCUUGCUGACCGAUAGCGAACCAGUACCGUGAGGGAAAGGUGAAAAGCACCCCGACGAGGGGAGUGAAACAGUACCUGAAACCGAACGCCUACAAUCAGUCGGAGCUUCUNNNNNNNNNNNNNNNNNNNNNNNNNNNNNNNNNNNNNNNNNNNNNNNNNNNNNNNNNNNNNNNNNNNNNNNNNNNNNNNNNNNNNNNNNNNNNNGGAGUGACGGCGUACCUUUUGUAUAAUGGGUCAUCGACUUGGUCUAUCUAGCAAGCUUAAGCCGAUAGGUGUAGGCGCAGCGAAAGCGAGUCUUAAUAGGGCGUCGAGUUAGAUGGAUCAGACCCGAAACCGAGUGAUCUAGGCAUGACCAGGAUGAAGGUAAGGUAACACUUACUGGAGGUCCGAACCCACACCUGUUGAAAAAGGUCGGGAUGAGUUGUGCCUAGGGGUGAAAGGCCAAUCAAACUCGGAGAUAGCUGGUUCUCCGCGAAAUCUAUUUAGGUAGAGCGUCAUCCGAAUACCCCGGGGGGUAGAGCACUGGAUGGGUAAUGGGGCCCCACAGGCUUACUGAUCCUAACCAAACUCCGAAUACCCGGGAGUACUAGAUGGCAGACACACUGCGGAUGCUAACGUCCGUAGUGGAGAGGGAAACAACCCUGACCUACAGCUAAGGCCCCCAAUUCAUGGCUAAGUGGGAAAGCAGGUGGGACGACCAAAACAACCAGGAGGUUGGCUUAGAAGCAGCCAUCCUUUAAAGAUAGCGUAACAGCUCACUGGUCUAAACAAGUUGUCCUGCGGCGAAGAUGUAACGGGGCUCAAGCCAUGAGCCGAAGCUUAGGAUGCCGUAAGGCAUGGUAGCGGAGCGUAGUGUGAUAUAGGACUUAUCCUUUACUGCCGCCGGUCGUACGGAGCGUGGAAACGCGCUCAAGUAGCCGAUAGGCGGUAGCGCAGGAGAAAGUCUUUUCUGUGAAGCCGGCCUGUGAGGGAUCCGGUGGAGAGAUCACUAGCGAGAAUGAUGACAUGAGUAGCGACAAAGAGUGUGAGAGACACUCUCGCCGAAAGUCCAAGGGUUCCUGCUUAAAGCUAAUCUGAGCAGGGUAAGCCGACCCCUAAGGCGAGGCCGAAAGGCGUAGUCGAUGGGAACCAGGUUAAUAUUCCUGGGCCAGGAGGAUGUGACGGAUUGUGGCGGCGUGCGUGCCUUAUCGGAUUGGCGCGUAUCCAAGACAGUCCCAGGAAAUAGCCCUCCAUGAGAUCGUACCCUAAACCGACACAGGUGGACUGGUAGAGAAUACCAAGGCGCUUGAGAGAACGAUGUUGAAGGAACUCGGCAAAAUACCUCCGUAAGUUCGCGAGAAGGAGGCCCGGUACACGACUACCGGGGGCACAAACCAGGGGGUGGCGACUGUUUAUUAAAAACACAGGGCUCUGCGAAGUCGCAAGACGACGUAUAGGGUCUGACGCCUGCCCGGUGCCUGAAGGUUAAAAGGAGGGGUGCAAGCUCCGAAUUGAAGCCCAGGUAAACGGCGGCCGUAACUAUAACGGUCCUAAGGUAGCGAAAUUCCUUGUCGGGUAAGUUCCGACCUGCACGAAUGGCGUAACGACUUCCCCGCUGUCUCCAACAUCGACUCAGCGAAAUUGAAUUGCCUGUCAAGAUGCAGGCUUCCCGCGGUUAGACGGAAAGACCCCGUGCACCUUCACUACAGCUUCGCACUGGCAUCAGGCACAACAUGUGCAGGAUAGGUGGUAGGCUUUGAAGCAGGGACGCCAGUCCCUGUGGAGCCUCCCUUGAGAUACCACCCUUGUUCUGCUUGAUGUCUAACCGCGGCCCGUUAUCCGGGUCCGGGACCCUGCGUGGUGGGUAGUUUGACUGGGGCGGUCGCCUCCUAAAGCGUAACGGAGGCGCGCGAAGGUUGGCUCAGAGCGGUCGGAAAUCGCUCGUUGAGUGCAAUGGCAGAAGCCAGCCUGACUGCAAGACUGACAAGUCGAGCAGAGUCGAAAGACGGCCAUAGUGAUCCGGUGGUCCCAAGUGGGAGGGCCAUCGCUCAACGGAUAAAAGGUACGCCGGGGAUAACAGGCUGAUACUGCCCAAGAGUCCAUAUCGACGGCAGUGUUUGGCACCUCGAUGUCGGCUCAUCUCAUCCUGGGGCUGGAGCAGGUCCCAAGGGUAUGGCUGUUCGCCAUUUAAAGAGGUACGUGAGCUGGGUUUAGAACGUCGUGAGACAGUUCGGUCCCUAUCUGCCGUGGGUGUAGGAUACUUGAGAGGAGUUGCCCCUAGUACGAGAGGACCGGGGUGAACGAUCCACUGGUGGACCUGUUGUUGCGCCAGCAGCAGUGCAGGGUAGCUAUGAUCGGACAGGAUAACCGCUGAAGGCAUCUAAGCGGGAAGCCCCCCUCAAAACAAGGUAUCCCUGAGGACCGUGGAAGACCACCACGUCGAUAGGCCGGAGAUGUAAGCACAGCAAUGUGUUCAGUUGACCGGUACUAAUGGUCCGAUAGGCUUGAUUUG